rnacentral:rRNA from 1 species
UACGUAGGGCGCAAGCGUUAUCCGGAAUUAUUGGGCGUAAAGAGCUCGUAGGCGGUUUGUCGCGUCUGCCGUGAAAGUCCGGGGCUCAACUCCGGAUCUGCGGUGGGUACAGGCAGACUAGAGUGAUGUAGGGGAGACUGGAAUUCCUGGUGUAGCGGUGAAAUGCGCAGAUAUCAGGAGGAACACCGAUGGCGAAGGCAGGUCUCUGGGCAUUAACUGACGCUGAGGAGCGAAAGCCAGGGGAGCGAACGGG